GGCGGCAGGCCUAAUACAUGCAAGUCGAGCGCCCUUUCGGGGGAGCGGCGGACGGGUGAGUAACGCGUGGGAAUAUGCCCUUUGGUACGGAACAACUGAGGGAAACUUCAGCUAAUACCGUAUGUGCCCUUCGGGGGAAAGAUUUAUCGCCAUUGGAGUAGCCCGCGUUGGAUUAGGUAGUUGGUGAGGUAAAGGCUCACCAAGCCUACGAUCCAUAGCUGGUCUGAGAGGAUGAUCAGCCACAUUGGGACUGAGACACGGCCCAAACUCCUACGGGAGGCAGCAGUAGGGAAUCUUGCGCAAUGGGCGAAAGCCUGACGCAGCCAUGCCGCGUGAAUGAUGAAGGUCUUAGGAUUGUAAAAUUCUUUCACCGGGGAAGAUAAUGACGGUACCCGGAGAAGAAGCCCCGGCUAACUUCGUGCCAGCAGCCGCGGUAAUACGAAGGGGGCUAGCGUUGCUCGGAAUUACUGGGCGUAAAGGGCGCGUA
rnacentral:rRNA from 1 species